GGAGAUUUUUGGAGGUGGGUUUUUUGGUAUUUCUUGUUUUAGUUAUAAGGUUAAGUGCGUUGGCAAAGUGUGAGAAAGAGAGUAUGAAGCGGAAUUAAAAUUAACAAACUCUCCUCUCUCUCCCAAACAUUUUUCACAUUGGAAAUUGUCUCUAAAUUUAACAAAUUUUCAGUUAGCUUUGUUAUUUGAUAUCAAUCAUCUCUUUUUCUCCUCAAUUUCCAAC
rnacentral:lncRNA from 1 species